CAACAACCCUGUGAGAUAAGUACUAUUAUCAUCUCCAUUCUAAGGAUGAGGAAACAGAGACGUAGAAAAGUUACUCAAGACUACUCAACUCAACUCAAACUUGCUCAGGACUAGAUGAUGGAGGUGAUCUUGGGGGAGAAAAAGCAGUUUGGCUCUGAUUUUUAACCAUUACCCAAAAUUUCCUCAUAAUCUUAUUAAGCCUACAGUAGCUUCAUAUUAUUAUUUUGAAACUUACAAGAUUUUCAUUUUAGGAGGCCAAAUGAUCAAAUAUGUCAGGAAUUACAUACGGCUCAACCUAACAAAUGGCCAAUAAAAGGAAAUAACAUUGAAAUGAUAAUAUCACAGGGCUCUGCGAUGACUCUGGGAUUACUUUUAAACACAUUAAAGUCUUCUGCACACGUCUCAGAUGUUGUUACCACUGACACCGGAGGGAGUAAAGCUAAAUGCCAAAAGUAACUUCCCAGCCGUUAAUAUUGACAUCAAGUGAAGAAAGAGAGGCUUUUUAGGAAAGAGUGAUCAUGAUCAGUGUAUGCUGGUGUAAGAGGCAGCCUCGGCGGGGGCGGCUGAGCGGCCCCUUAGUAGCCCGUAUCCCUUCCCCUUUGCCUCUCUCAGCGUGUCUGAGAGGCUGCUUCAAACCAGCCAGGAUUUAGCCAUGGAUUUGGCUCAGAAGUCCUUGUUUGCAAGCCUUUGAGUGAGCUCCUGAGAAACUCAGACAGAGAGGCAGUCUUCCUCGUGAGAGCACCCAAGAGCGUGAGAUCGAAGGUCCCUCUCCCACAGCUCCUGUCUGUACCCCGACUCCCAGGAAACUGGAAACAGAAAGGAGAUGGGAGACAGAUACACAUUACCCCAGGUUCAAUCUGCCUAGUCUUUUCAGUUCCACUUGUAAUUUUUCAGCUGAAGCUUCCAAGAGUCAUCUUUUGCAUCUGUUCAAUGGCAUAGUCUCCUUCUGAGUCUGUCUCCGUGAUCAAAACUUAAGUCCUUAUAUAUGGUUAACAGAAUAACCUGCCUGAAACAUUGCUUUCCUCACAUCCUUCCUCAAGAACAAUCAUUUACCAUAUUCACUUCAAAAUCCUUAGCCUGGACUUCUGCAACUCCUCGUUACUUUUACAGGUGCCCCUCUGAUACCACGUCAACCUGAACAAAACCCACACCGGUGACUGGAUCUAGCCCGGAGCCUGUGUGGAAACAGAAGAAUGGACGGGGUUAUUUCUGAAAAGCGUAGUGAAACUACAUUGCACACUAUUGCACGCAUGCUCUUUCUAUGGGUGUGAAUGUAGGUGCAUGCACAUAGGGUGGAGCGGAGCCCAUGCACGAGUACACAAAUGUAGUUAAGUGUACCUGAGGUGGUGUGAGCAUUUUCUAGGACUCUAUGCUUGAAGUUUCACUUCGUAAAUCUCUUUUACUGGCUGUACUCUGAAAGCCAAGGGCUGUGUAAUAAUUUACACUGCAUUGUCCUUCCUCUCUUGCUCCCUUUCACUUGCCUAGGAUGAAAAACUAAAGAUUGAUAGUGAUGUCCCUUUGGAGGAGCCACGAGUGUCGUUCAUCCCCACUCUGUCAGUCUAUCCCUCUACAGCAUUUCUUCUCACUCCACUCCUUCUGCUCUGCUCCACAGUUUUCUCCUCUUCUUCCCCAAAUCUUUUCCACUGACUCCUUCUGAAAUGUCCUCCUCAUUGGUGCAGCCACCCUGGAUUAAGUAGAAUGAGAAGGACUUUUCAGCUGACCCAAUCAUGAGGCUCAUAAAAGUCCUCUGCAGAGAUCCAAGCAACCCCAGAGAUCUCUUUCCUCCACUCAAAGCCAUUUCAGCCUGACUUUCAAAGGCUCCAGGGAAGGACUUCCAGGACUGUGUUGAAGAGAAGUUGUAAGAUGGGCAUCCUUGUCUUCUUCCUGACCUUGGAGAGAAAGCUUUCAGUUUUUUACCACUGAGUAUGAUAUUAUCUGUUACCAGCAGUUCUAUUCUUAAAUAUAUAUCCUGGAGAAAAUUCUCCACAUGCAUUCCUGGAGACGUAUACCACAAUGUUUAUAACAGUAUUGUUUGUAAAAAACAAAGACCUGAAAACAACUCAGCUAUCUAUUGACAGGAGAACGGCUAAAUAAACUAUGGUAUAUUCAUUUAUUUAACUGUAAUACAGCAGUUAAAAUGAACCAAAGUUAUAUGCUGCAAUGGCAAUGAAUCUCAAACUCAUGUCGAAAGAAAAAAAGCAAGUCACCGAAGAAUUCAUACAUCAUGACAGAAUUUUUACAAAAGUUCAAACACAUUAAAAUCUAAAUAAUAUAUUGUCAAAAGAUUUACGUGUAGUAAAACAUAAUGAAAUGCAAGGAAUGAUAAGCACAAAAUUUGGAAUAGAGGUUUCCUCCAGAGGGAGAGAAAAAGGAUGUAAUUAGAUAGAGACACGAAUGAGGCUUCACUACUCUUAAUAAGAAUCUAUUUCUUAGCUAGAUGGGAGGCACAAGGGUAUCUGUUUUACUUAUUUAAUGUUAUAUUUAAGUUAAAUAUAUUCUUUUAUGUGUAUGAAACGUCUGAGAAUAAUAAAAAUACAUUCACUCAUUCAACAAAUAUUUAUCAAACAUCUGCUAUGUGCCAG
ensembl:lncRNA